rnacentral:rRNA from 1 species
CAGCAGCCACGGUAAUACGUAGGGUGCAAGCGUUAAUCGGAAUUACUGGGCGUAAAGCGUGCGCAGGCGGUUUGUUAAGACAGAUGUGAAAUCCCCGGGCUCAACCUGGGAACUGCAUUUGUGACUGGCAGGCUAGAGUAUGGCAGAGGGGGGUGGAAUUCCGCGUGUAGCAGUGAAAUGCGUAGAUAUGCGGAGGAACACCGAUGGCGAAGGCAGCCCCCUGGGCCAAUACUGACGCUCAUGCACGAAAGCGUGGGGAGCAAACAGGAUUAGAUACCCGCGUAGUCCCUGUCUCUUAUAC